UACGGAGGGUGCGAGCGUUGUUCGGAAUCACUGGGCGUAAAGGGCGUGUAGGCGGUCCGCUAAGUCUGAUGUGAAAGCCCGGGGCUCACCCCCGGAAGGGCAUUGGAAACUGACGGACUCGAGUCCCGAAGAGGAGGGUGGAAUUCCUGGUGUAGCGGUGAAAUGCGUAGAUAUCAGGAGGAACACCGGUGGCGAAGGCGGCCCUCUGGACGGUGACUGACGCUGAGACGCGAAAGCGUGGGGAGCAAACAGGAUUAGAUACCCUGGUAGUCCACGCUGUAAACGAUGAGCACUAGGUGUCGUGGGUAUUGACCCCCGCGGUGCCGUAGCUAACGCAUUAAGUGCUCCGCCUGGGGACUACGGCCGCAAGGUUAAA
rnacentral:rRNA from 1 species